UUAGCGCGGGCCUACGGGCGAAUUAUACCCGCUGAAAUAUUUCUCGCGGAUUUUUAUCAAUCGAAAAUGUAUUUCGUGUACAAAAGUGUCGAAAAUAUUAGAUUGAAUCACGGGUGAUCGUUUUAUAUCGUAUAUCUAUUAAUCAGCGCGACUGCAAUUACAUUCAUAAACGCGACCUAACCUGCCCGAACAUUACACAAGGCACAUUUCUAAUGUAAAAUAUGACUGCCUAAAGCGAAGGAGCAAGGUUGAUCAAAAACCGAAAGGAAUAAGAGAUAUGGGUAAAUCUUCGGAAAAUCCUCCUAUAUGAAAUAAAGGGUAAGAAUACCCAAUUUCUAUGUAUUUUUGCCUCCUGGACACAAUCGACGCAUGGUAAUAAAAAUUGGCGGUCGGACAUAUUUUGGGCGUCAUCUUGAAAAAACAUGUGGAAAAAAACGAUUUUUCUCGCUUCGCAUUCCUUCCUUCCUACCUAUUUACCUACCUAAACUAAGGGUUACAAACCGCCUCCACACAUACACUUUCCAUGCGAAGCAAGGUUCCACACGGGUUUACAACUUUAUUUUAUUUUAUAUAAAACGCUCUAACAUGUAUACGGUUGGAGUUACGUGAAUGAAGGUUAUGACCUUUUUUGUAGAAAAUUUAAUUUCCUACGUUUUUUGUUUAAAAACUUUUUUCGUAAAGUGAAUAGUUUCAGAGAUAAUCGUAAAAAACCGUUUUUUCCACAUAUUUUUUCAAGAUGGCGCCCAAAAUAUGUCCGCCCGUCAAUUUUUAUUAUCAUAUUCAUGUUCAGGAGGCAAAAAUAUAUAGAAUAUAUAGAAUAUAUGAAAUAUAUAGAAUAUAUAGAAAUUGGGUAUUCUUACCCUUUAUUUCAUAUAGGAGGGUUUUCCGAAAAUUUACCGAGAUAUGCACCGGCGACGCAUCGACUGGGAUGCACGAGAUGGGCCAGGAACAUCGCGGAACACGGACCUGUUUGUCGGUUUAUUGCGAACGGUGCAGGCAGCACACGUAAUAGGCACGCCGAACGUAUACCGGAUGGAUCGCCCCGUGUUCCAAGUAUUACAAGAGCGAUCUCCUGCGUGUCAAGACUGUCGAUGCGGAAAGCGGCCGUGCGCGGGACGCGCGCUCGUCUCCGUUCCUCCCAUCCGUGUAUGCCCACCACCUUCGCAGGAACGCCGUGUACCAGGGUGUGGCGCCAGAACCCGGAGAACGACCUUAGGCGCGACCUCGCCUGGGACUGACCAAAGCCGCACGCCAAUCACGCUUACAAUUUGAGAAUUCAGACGAGCACACUCGUGCACGCGAAAUCUAUCGAAGGGCUGCAUUCUGCCUGUUGCUAAUUUUUAAUCAAUCCAUUAUAAGUUGUGCAAUACACAAUGUAUAUUAUUUAUUAUAUUAUUUAUUUUUUACAAUUGCGUACUUUUUAAAAAGAAAAUAUAGAUUUUAAAUAUGAUUAUAGACCGAUUAGUCGAACCGAUUAGGAUCAAGCAGUUGUAUCAUAUAAGUUUGCUCAUCGUUCUUUCGAAGUAUUAUCCAUCACAGUUGAAAUAUCAGGAUUGAAAAUAGCUAAAUCGUUUCUAUCAUUCGAUGGGCUAAACGCUGCCGCGCUGUAGGCACGUAGUUUGCCAUCAGAUAGGUUUCGAUCACACGGGCAAUCGAUCUCGAGCUCGCAUGGUGGAUAGACGAGUUUACAUAGCUAUAGUACAGCCAAUGUGUCCUAUAAGUGUAUCGUCGAGUACGUAACAGGAAGUAGCACGACACGAAUAUUAAUGAACGCGCGCGCAACGAAAACGUUUACUGCUCGUUCUUCGCACUGCACGCGCGCCUUCAUGUUUUGCAACACGUGCGACACACGCGCGCGCGUGUUGCACUCUUGAUGUUUCGCACAGUUUUAACCUCGAGUAACUCAUAAAAUAAACGCAAAAAAUAUACAUAAUGUUUUACCUUGCUAUUCCAAAGUCGCAUAGUUCAAAAGUUUUAAGAAAAAAAAAAUAGUCAUAAAAAAAAUUUCGUAUUUGAGGAAAAAUAAUUAUUUUGUAACAAUAUAUUUUCUAAAAAUAUAUAUAUUUUGCUAUAUCUUUUGUAUCUUUAACGUAUCUUUUAAAGUGUACUAUUUUAACGUGUAAAGUAAAAUUUUUUAUAUGUAAAAGUAAACAUUGACACAAAUAAUUUGCAA